GGGGGCGUGGCGGAAUGGUAGACGCUACAGACUUAAAAUCUGUUGAUGGUAACAUCGUGUGGGUUCAAGUCCCACCGCCCCCA
rnacentral:tRNA from 1 species